AUUGAACGCUGGCGGCAGGCCUAACACAUGCAAGUCGAGCGGAUGAAGGGAGCUUGCUCCUGGAUUCAGCGGCGGACGGGUGAGUAAUGCCUAGGAAUCUGCCUGGUAGUGGGGGAUAACGUCCGGAAACGGGCGCUAAUACCGCAUACGUCCUGAGGGGGAAAGUGGGGGAUCUUCGGACCUCACGCUAUCAGAUGAGCCUAGGUCGGAUUAGCUAGUUGGUGGGGUAAAGGCCUACCAAGGCGACGAUCCGUAACUGGUCUGAGAGGAUGAUCAGUCACACUGGAACUGAGACACGGUCCAGACUCCUACGGGAGGCAGCAGUGGGGAAUAUUGGACAAUGGGCGAAAGCCUGAUCCAGCCAUGCCGCGUGUGUGAAGAAGGUCUUCGGAUUGUAAAGCACUUUAAGUUGGGAGGAAGAGCAGUAAGUUAAUACCUUGCUGUUUUGACGUUACCAACAGAAUAAGCACCGGCUAACUUCGUG
rnacentral:rRNA from 1 species